rnacentral:rRNA from 1 species
UACGAAGGGGCGAGCGUUGUUCGGAAUUACUGGGCGUAAAGGGCGCGCAGGCGGCUCUGAAAGUCAGAUGUGAAAGCCCCGGGCUUAACCUGGGAAUUGCAUUUGAUACUCUGGAGCUUGAGUACGGGAGAGGAGAGUGGAAUUCCCAGUGUAGAGGUGAAAUUCGAUAGAUAUUGGGAAGAAACACCGGGUGGCGAAGGCGGCUCUCUGGACCGUAACUGACGCUGAGGCGCGAAAGCGUGGGGAGCAAACAGGAUUAAGAAAC